UCUGUUUUUCAGAUCAGCCAGAUGAAGAUCUAUUGAAUCCAGAUUCCUCGAGUGAAAGAGAAAAACUGAUAACCACGUAAGUGGGAGGUGAGAGACCCUUUUGAGUCGCAACAUGAGCUCUAUAGUGCAAGACAAAAACAGAAAAAUGUAAAUAGAAUAAAGAAUUAUACCACUUUCCGAAGGAAUGUCAAACAGUUGGUCUACAUGGAGAAGAUGAAUUCAAGCAAGAUGAUAUUUGAACAAAUGUAAGAACUGGAAAUAGGUCAAACUCUUAACUACAUCUUUACAUGCAAUAAUGGCAUUAUUGCUCAAGAACGAAAUAUUUCUAUGUAUGUACAUAUGUGAAAUGUAUAAAUAUAAAUAAGAUGUUUAACAGAGUGGCUAUAUUAAGUAUAGAAGGCUCUCUCCAUGUUUACUAAUUUUGUUAGUUUUAUGUGCAGUGGUGUUCCUAUAAUUUAACAGUGUGUAUUACAGCUAUCCUUCAUUAUCAUAAUUAAUCAGCAAAUUGUCAUUUUUCAUCGAUCUAUGCCUAGACAUGAUAGUUAUGAAGUAGUGCAAUAAAAAAACUAUUACUUCACAUGGCACCUGUCUGUCUGCUUACUUAAUUUAUUGUGUAAAAUUAAAUGAAACUAAAAUUUCA